GAAGGUACAGCUCAGUGGUAGAGUGUGUGCUUAGCAUGCACGAAGUCCUGGGUUCAAUCCCCAGUACCUCCA
rnacentral:tRNA from 1 species